AUUAAGGGUAGGUUUGCAUAGAUUGUUCAGAUGGAAACAUCUCGUCUGGAGUUGUAUCGUACAGUAAUUUUGGCUAUCCAAACACAAUAUUUCAUCUCUUAAAUUUUGAAAACAUCCACUAAAAUAAACAGUAUAUGAACAGUUACACAGUGGGACCCACCCCUUUAUCAAAUCC